UUCCUUUUUCCCUCCUCCUCUUCUUCUUUCCUCUUCCUCUCCUCCGUCUUAAGUAGGGCGAUUAGGGAUAGAAGUUGGCAUUGAAUCUAAAUGGGCACUUAUCAGGAGGCAUGCCCACUUGUCAAGCAGGACUCUGAGGCAGAACUGCUUCAUCUUAAACUUCUGGGAAGUAGGUGCUGACCUGCUCAUCAUCAAGGAAACCAGUCCUGCCCCUGCAGUCGUUUAAGUGAGUUCCCUGCCACCCGAAUGGAGGUAAGGACAACCUGGGAAAUGCCGUGGAGUUGUUAGCCUGAAACUCAAAUUGUAGCUCCCAACUGAAAGUGAUGCCACAGAUCCAGAAGAGAAGGUGCUCUUAGAUUGAUGGGACUCUACUAAAUGAGCAAAAGAAGAUCUUCCAGGAGCCGUGUCUUGGAGACAUAUUUUCUCUGUUCUGUGUAGAUAUGCUCUUGUGUGAUACUACUCACUUUUUUUUAAAUAUUUUCAUUUCUACUUCAAAA